AAUCUAUGAUGAGAAAACUGCAACAAUAUGAUGGAUAUAAAUUCCAUGAUUCGCUGUAUUUAAGUCUCUGAUGAUU